UACAAAUUAGCAUAUUAGUGUAUUGAUUUUAGAAUUCAAAGAAAAACGUUAGUUUAUUUGUAG
rnacentral:tRNA from 1 species